GUUAGAGAUGGUGCAGGAAAGCUUCCAUGACACAUAGCACCAUAUCUCAUGGAACUGCAUAUAUUUCAUGAUGGAUGUCAGUCUUCAACUCUUGAUCAUGUGCAAACAAUGGGCAAAAUCUCUCUCCUUCAAAUACUCCAGAGGAAGUGAUCUGAAGUUGUUAAAUCUAAAGAAUGGGAUGGCAAAGUCAAAUCAUCAAAGCAGGAGAUCAGAUAAUUGGGAAACAACUCUCAGAGUAGAGCUAUACUUAUGUGCACCAUGUAUGCCAUUGCACAGUCCUAUUGACCAAUUAUCGUGCCUACAAUUCUGGCAUGAGAAAAUUUCUCA
rnacentral:lncRNA from 1 species